rnacentral:lncRNA from 1 species
AGCGCGGCACGGGACGGACUUUCUCCUGUCCCCAGACAGAGGGGAGGCAAGCAGACUGGGCUCCGUACGUGGAACAGGAAGAAUAUGGGGUCAGAUGCCAGAUGCUCAGGAAUACUGCCGAACAAUACAACCCGGAGUGCCCUUACCGCCGCACAACAAGGGGCCUUUAAAGCGAGGGACGAGAACCAUUUCUCUCGCAGGCAUCGCAAGGAAAACAGAAGAUGGGUCCUAAAGACGUUAAACGAAAAAUCAGCAGAAACUGCGCCUCGCGUUGCAUCCGCGCAGACACACAGACAGGAGUUUAGAUCACCGCAGCGAAUCGCGCACUAUAACUGUACGUCUAACAUGCAGACGGUCCCCCGUCUGAGCGCCUCUUCCGGCCCGGCUCGGCUCGGCUCCGCCCCGCCCGGGUUUUGCUCUGGACGACGCUCUGGAGUCAGACGUGACCUUGAGCGGGCAGAGGUCGGGAGCCGUCCAGAAACAACCCAAGACACGAACCGGGACGGGUUCAGCUUUGUAAACCUCCCCGUGUCGUCUGGUCGUCUGAGAGACUCGGAGAAACAGGAGGAAAUCGGGAAGAGAGGAAGAGUUCACGUUCAGGGUUCACCCUACAGGUAAGCAUUGUUCCUCGACCCCACCCCGUUUAUAGCUCCCCCCUUAUAAGGGCUUUUGAGCUGAUGCGCCCGCGUAGAAAGUUUUGAGCCGCCUGCUCAUCGAGGUGCCCGGCGUGUCAGCGAGGGCGCACGAUGAGAUGACCUCCUG